rnacentral:rRNA from 1 species
UACGUAGGGUGCGAGCGCUAAUCGGAAUUACUGGGCGUAAAGCGUGCGCAGGCGGUUCGUUAAGUUCGUUGUGAAAGCCCCGGGCUCAACCUGGGAAUGGCAAUGGAAACUGGCGGGCUGGAGUGCGGCAGAGGGGGGUGGAAUUCCGCGUGUAGCAGUGAAAUGCGUAGAGAUGCGGAGGAACACCGAUGGCGAAGGCAGCCCCCUGGGCCGACACUGACGCUCAGGCACGAAAGCGUGGGGAGCAAACAGG